rnacentral:rRNA from 1 species
GUGGGGAAUCUUAGACAAUGGGGGAAACCCUGAUCUAGCCAUGCCGCGUGAUCGAUGAAGGCCUUAGGGUUGUAAAGAUCUUUCAGGUGGGAAGAUAAUGACUGUACCACCAGAAGAAGCCCCGGCUAACUCCGUGCCAGCAGCCGCGGUAAUACGGAGGGGGCUAGCGUUGUUCGGAAUUACUGGGCGUAAAGCGCACGUAGGCGGAUUGGAAAGUUGGGGGUGAAAUCCCGGGGCUCAACCCCGGAACUGCCUUCAAAACUCCCAGUCUUGAGUUCGAGAGAGGUGAGUGGAAUUCCGAGUGUAGAGGUGAAAUUCGUAGAUAUUCGGAGGAACACCAGUGGCGAAGGCGGCUCACUGGCUCGAUACUGACGCUGAGGUGCGAAAGCGUGGGGAGCAAACAGGAUUAGAAACCCCAGUAGUCC